GUCCAAGAAAAACCGCUAAGCUUCAGGUUAUAAAAACCCGUACCGCAAACCGACACAGGUAUCCGGGAAGAGAAUUCUAAGGCGCUCGAGUGAAUCAUGGCUAAGGAACUCGGCAAAAUGGCCCUGUAACUUCGGGAGAAGGGGCGCUGGUAGCAAUAUCAGCCGCAGUGAAAAGGCCCAGGCGACUGUUUAACAAAAACACAUGGCUUUGCAAAAUCGAAAGAUGAAGUAUAAGGCCUGACACCUGCCCGGUGCUGGAAGGUUAAGAGGGGAUGUCAUCCUCACGGAGAAGCAUUGAAUCGAAGCCCCAGUAAACGGCGGCCGUAACGAUAACGGUCCUAAGGUAGCGAAAUUCCUUGUCGGGUAAGUUCCGACCUGCACGAAUGGUGUAACGAUCUGGGCGCUGUCUCAGCCAUGAGCUCGGUGAAAUUGUGGUCCCGGUGAAGACGCCGGGUACCCGCAACGGGACGGAAAGACCCCAUGCACCUUCACUACAAUUUAACAUUGACAUUGGAUACAGGAUGUGUAGGAUAGGUGGGAGACUAUGAAGCGGCGUCGCCAGGCGUCGUGGAGUCAACGUUGAAAUACCACCCUUUCUGUAUUCGGUGUCUAACUCGGCCUAGUCGAGGACAUUGUUUGAUGGGUAGUUUGACUGGGGUGGUCCCUCCAAAAAGGUAACGGAGGCUUUCAAAGGUAAGCUCAAUACGCUUGGUAACCGUAUGAGGAGUGCAAUAGCAUAAGCUUGCUUGACUGUGAGGCAUACAAGCCGAGCAGGGUCGAAAGACGGAUUUAGUGAUCCGGUGGUUCUGCAUGGAAGGGCCAUCGCUCAAAGGAUAAAAGGUACGCUGGGAUAACAGGCUGAUCUCCCCCAAGAGCUCAUAUCGACGGGGAGGUUUGGCACCUCGAUGUCGGCUCGUCACAUCCUGGGGCUGGAGAAGGUCCCAAGGGUUCGGCUGUUCGCCGAUUAAAGUGGCACACGAGCUGGGUUCAGAACGUCGCGAGACAGUUCGGUCCCUAUCUGUUGUGGGCGUAGGAAUUUUGAGUGGGGCUGACCUUAGUACGAGAGGACCGGGUUGGACUAGCCUCUAGUGAAUCUGUUGUUCCGCCAGGGGCAUUGCAGAGUAGCUACGCUGGGAAUAGAUAAGCGCUGAAAGCAUCUAAGUGCGAAACUAGCCACGAGAUGAGAAUUCCAUAUAGGACCGUAGUAGACUACUACGUUGAUAGGUUACAGAUGUAAAGGUUGUGAGAUCAAAGUCGAGUAAUACUAAUCAUCCA
rnacentral:rRNA from 1 species